rnacentral:rRNA from 1 species
GACGAACGCUGGCGGCGUGCUUAACACAUGCAAGUCGAACGAGACGAUUGAAAGCUUGCUUUCGAAAGUCGAGUGGCAAACGGGUGAGUAACGCGUAGACAACCUGCCUUUGAGAUGGGGACAACAGUUCGAAAGGACUGCUAAUACCGAAUGUUGUAUAUUUUCCACAUGGAAGAUAUAUUAAAGAUGGCCUCUAUUUAUAGCUAUCGCUCAAAGAUGGGUCUGCGUCUGAUUAGCUGGUUGGUGGGGUAACGGCCUACCAAGGCGACGAUCAGUAGCCGGUCUGAGAGGAUGAACGGCCACAUUGGGACUGAGACACGGCCCAGACUCCUACGGGAGGCAGCAGUGGGGAAUCUUCCACAAUGGACGAAAGUCUGAUGGAGUAACGCCGCGUGAGUGAAGAAGGGUUUCGGCUCGUAAAGCUCUGUUGUCGGGGACGAACGUGCAGUAUUUGAAUAAAGUACUGCAAUGACGGUACCUGACGAGGAAGCCACGGCUAACUACGUGCCAGCCGCCGCAGUAA